AGCCUGAACUUCUUGGGCUCAAUCGAUUCUCCCAAAUAGCUGGGACUACAGAUGUAUGCCACCAUACCCACCUAAUCUUUUCUACUUUUUGUAGAGACGGUGUCUCACUAUAUAGCCAAGGCUAGCCUUAAACUUCUGAGCUGAAGUAAUCUUCCUAUCUCAGCCUCCCAAAGUGCUGGGAUUACAUGCAUGAGCCACUGUGCCCAGCCAUUCUUAUUAAAUUUUUGAUGACUUCUAAUGGGAGAAGCACAUGAUCAGUUUUCACUUUCCAUCUCUAAUGUAGUGAAAUCAUUUAUCUGAAAACAAGUGGGAAUGACAAAUUAAAGUUUUCCUUCAAUCCCUAGAUUAUUUAGGCCACUUUCAUUCUGGCUACCAAAUGCUGACCCUGACAUUACCCGUACUUCCCAACUUCAUAACUUAACAUUGUUGGGACCUUGCAUGAGAUACUUAACCUCUGGGAACUGCAGUUUCCUGAUUUGUAAUAUGAGGCUAAUAAGACUACCUCAUGGGAUUGCCAUGAGGAUAAAUGCUACAUAUUAUUGUGAGUGUUAGUGGUAGACCUUGUAAUUACCUUUGAACAGGAGACUAAGGAGAGGAUUCUAUUGAUAGUACUAAUUGUGUUCCUAAACAAACAGCAGCAGUCCUGUUGAGACAUCUUAUCUCCUUACUUGAAAAUUUGUAAUAUGCCACUUUACUUUUAUAAACAUUUACUUUAGCUAUGAAAUUUUUAACUUGAGCUUAGGCUACUUAAAAUUGAGUUGUAAAAUUGUCAGGUUAACAUAGGAACUGCCUAAGACCUCUAGCCCUCAAUGGGUGAUAAUAAAACUAAGUAAUAUAGAAUCUAGUAUUACUUAUCUAAUUUGCUAUACACAUCACUGAUAAUACAUUCUUUUUUAAGUGUACUAUGUAUGUUGGGUAUAUUUUUAAAAGAAUAAAGACUUUACGGGUACAUUGAUGUUGUGGAUCUUGAAUCCCCUCCUUUACCCUUGAAACCUUUUUCUUGUGAACAAGGUGUUUAGAAAUAACCCUGUGAUCAUGAAGGUGUUGCUAGUCUUGAGACCCUGCCCAGGAUGAUAUGCCCAAGAGAACAAAGGACAGCAGCUUUUUAUGCCAUCCCUUGUGCUCAAGUGCCCUUUCUCCCACUGCAUAUGAAAGGAGCUGUUUGGAAAAUGGACAAUUCCAACAGAAGUAUCAGUUAACUUACAGAUAACAUUAGCAGUUAUCUUGAAGCCACUGGCAAAAACUAAGUUUAAAAAACCCUGGAAAAGGUUGUGAUUGAUUGGUAAAUGAGAACGUGUGUUAGUAUAUAUACACCAACCUGUGGUCUUCAGAGUAGCUGUCAUUAAAAUCACCUGGGGAGCCUUUAAAAUACAUUUAUGCCUGGGACUCAGCCAAAAAUAUCUAAAAAUUUCUGGGAGUGGAGGCAGGAUGUAGGAAUUUUUAAUUUAUAAUGUACAGUCAUGGUCAAGGACCAGUGACUUAAGCUCUACAGUAUUAUCAAGUGAUGUGAUAGCUGGGACUACCAGAAAUGCCCUUCUGUCUUUUAUUCAUUCUACGAACAUUUAUUUAAAAUGCUUAGAUUGCCAGAAUUUGAAAUUCCUAAUCAAGAACAGUAGACAGACUUGUAAAAAUUACCUAUAAUAUAGCUUGGCAGGUUCUGAAUUUACUACUGUGAGUUUAUUCUACUUGGCAAGAAAGAAAGGAAAGGAAGAAGGGAGGGAAAGUGAAAGCAAAUUUCCUCAGUAAGUGACAUUUGAAAAGGGUCACUUCUCAUAAUCAAAUUUAACCUAUUAAAAUGGUUUACUUUUAAUAUCAAUUCCCUUUAAAAACAAAUGCCCAGUUUCUUAAUGGUAAGCAAAAUGAAUAUGAGUUGAUUCUUACUUUGGCCUGAGGAAAGCUUUGUCACAGCUACUCUGGAAGCUCCUGUUUCUUGGACACAAUUUCACAAGUGAAGGUGUUGUUUGGGCAGGGAGUUUUGAGUACCUGCAUGAGGUCAUGUAGCUAGUGGGUAAGAGAAUUACAAUUAACACAGGUCUCCUUGGUUCCUGGAUAUGCGUUCUUUCAUUGGAUUGUACUUAUAUUAUAGUCCUGUGAAAGAGGCUUCAUUUGGGUUAGUUCAUUAAGAGAUUCACUAGAGGCUUCGUUUGGGUUAAUUCAUUAAAGGAGAUUUACUAGAGGCUUUGUUGGGUUAGUUCAUUAAAGGAGGUUUUAACUUGAUGGUGAGCCGGCAAACUCUGACAAAGGGAAGGCUGCAGGAACAGGAGAAAAGGAUGCUUUCAAGCAUCUCUGGAGAAAUGGACCUGGGUGAUGGGAACCGGGGGGGUUGCAAGGUAAAAAAACAUGCUAGGAGAGUGAGAGCAGUCCAGUCUUUUUCAUUUUCUGAGUACCAGACCAUAAUUGAGGCCUCUGUAUAUAUUCCCUAAUUUAAUAUUCACAUCAUCCCUAGGCUGAUAUCUUACCUUCAUUUUCAUAGAAGAGGAAGUUGCAAUUCAGUGGAGUUGAAUAAUUAAUCCAAAGUCUCACUGCUAAUAAAUAUCAAAGUUAGGAUUUGAACAAGCAACUCUCUAAUUUCAGUUCAUGGGAGUUUUAACCAUUGAGCUGGUACUGUAUUGCUCUUUCUAUGUCAACUCCUGGAACUGUUUCUCAAUGCUUAUCUCUAAGGCUUCUGUAUAUGAGACGCUUACAAGUUUGGGAUACAGAUACCUCCAACAAGUAGCCAUAUUUCUUACUUAGGUGGGUGAAGAGUCACAUAUUCGUGUUUGGAUAACAGUAGUAAGCAGUUACCUGAGAAAAGGAGCAAAUGGUAGAAGACUAGUGGAGAGAAAAAUAUAUUUGAAUGAAGAAAAAUAGGAAGCUAUAACAUAACAGUUUAUGGACGCUAAAGAAGAUGCAAAAGGAAUGUUUGAGAACUGCUUUAUUGGACAGAAUAUCCUACAUUCAGAAAUAUAGUCAGAACUCAUUCACUUGAUAAACACUUAUGGGGCUUUCUUGGCCUGAUGUAGGCUGUGGGCAUGAGCCUCCUUAGGGAGUCUGUCACCAGGGAAGGAAGAUGUGUAAACAGUGCCUGGUAUUAGGAGAGGAACAUGUACAAAAUAUAAAGGAAGAUACAACUAUCUUUAAUAAAAGCCACCUUCUUUCAGCAGAUGUAGAGAGUGUAAAAAUCACAGAUAUAUUCCUUUACUCGCUUAAUGCUAACACUCUUAAGCAGAGUGUUUAGCAGAUCCGGGCUUUCAGCCUAAAUGUUGUUGGUAUGAUAGCAAGAAAAAAACAUCAUGUGACAACCGUCUGUGCUUUUCCCUCUCACGUUCACAUUCUGGCUUGUUAAAAAAAACAGUGUUGCCAUGGCUGACACUCCUGUGAGGCCCAACAUCUCCAUACUUUUCAUCUUAACUAAGCACUUAAGAAUAUGCGCUGCAGCUUCUAAUUGCCAUUUAGAACAGAGCACCUUGUGAUGACUAAGCUCUUUCAAGUAUCUAUGCUUAAUGUGAUGACUUCAAUACCCUUUUGCCAUAAAGACUCAUCUGUAGUACUUGGUACAAGUUCCAUAGCUUAUAGUUAUCAUCUGUUUUUUAUUUGUAUGUUUAUUGUUAAUAUGGAUCUUUUUCUGAAAAACUAUUUGAGGAUACUAGACACGUACUGUAUAUGAAAUGUUUCUAAAAAUUCUGAGACUUUCCUAUUUUAUUCUCAGUGGUAAUUUUUAGAUAGAUUGUUUAGUCUUACUUUAGAUAUUUGUGGAACUGCCCUAGAAAACCAGUUGAAUUCUCUAGAUGUGGAGGUGGAGUGCAGAGGAGGAGACAGGCUCAGAUAACCUGUGUUGUGAUACUGCUUUUUUGCUUCAAGAGAUUUUCUUCACCCUUACUGCUUAUGCUGCUGCAGUCAGCAUCCAAUAGAAACAUGUUCUGGGCUCAUGAGCCAAUUGUCUUUCCGCUUGCUGCUGCCUCAAGUCUGAGAGAGCUGAUGGCAGUGCACAAUUUUAGCAAAUUGUCAUAGACGGGGGGGUGUGGGGCAGGGAGAGGAGUGUUUUCCCCAUGGGGACAGAGCCAGUGUCAUUGAGCACAUUUUGUUCAAGUACAAAGUUGAUCUGUCUGAAGGAGACUGUGGUCAGCAGUGAUGAGGACCUUUAUUGCCUCACUUUUUCUUCGUGCUCUGUCAUUGUUUAUGUGAAGCAGUAGCAUUUAAUGGCUGGACUUGAGGCAGAAUUGGUGAAGUCAGAAAGUGACAGUAUUUAUUUUUCAGUUAGGGAAUCCCACAGGUUUAUAAAGGAGUGCUAGUGAAAAAUUGAGAAAAAGAAAGGAUCUUUGUGUUUGGCAAAGACAAUGCAGAGCAGUGCAAUAUGUGAUAAUUUCUGCAUGUAAAUGGCAGCCAAAAUUUUAGACAUCUGUUAUAGUUUGGAAAACUAUUUAAACACUAAUUAUAUGCAUAAUAUAUGCUGUCCUAUCUAGGAGGCUGAGUAGGCUUUAAGGGAAGAGUUACAGUGGAAAUAUUGACAUAGGUUGUUGGAAACAUAUGAUGUAAUAUUAUACUUUGAAGUUUAUCAUGACUAAAUAAAUGUUGUCACUUUAGAGAGGUAAAAACACGCUUUACUUUCCUUAUUUGUAGGGAUAUGUGGGAUCUCGCAGGUACAAAUAUAACAAAUGUUGCGUGUAAAUACAAAGGAAUGAUGUUAUUAUUCUCAAGCUGACUUUGCCAAAAUGUUUUACCUCUCUGAUUUCCUUUAUAUUUAUAUUUCUCAAUAAAGACUUGCCCCUUAAAACAUAUCAUCCUAUAUUACUAACAUUUAAAUUUUUAAUUUUAUGUGUGUGUACAUAUAUAUGUAUAUACACAGAUAUAUAACUUCAUUAUAUAUAAUAGCUUUUUAAUUGUUUUAUAUCCAAAUAUAUAUAAAUAUAUAUAAUAAGUUUUUCUUUAUUUGUGUUAUAUCCAAAUUGAAGAGGCAUUGUCAGUGAAAUAUAUAUUUAACCCAAGAACCUCUUGUUUCACUAGGGUAAUAUUUUAACUUCUUUGGUGUUCUUUUAAAAAAAAAUACUGUUGAUCCUGGAAGACAGGUUCCUCUGAGGAAAAGAAAAAAGAUGACAAUUAAAUUACAAUUUACAAAAGCAUCUAAAUUUUUUCCAUUACCCUUUGGAAAUGCUAUGUGGAUUAGUCUUCUCCAAAAUUAGUUGCUUACAUUAUGAAAUAUCAUUUCCUUUGCAGAACUCAAAAGAGUUGAAGACUUCCAUUUGGUUCUGACCUAGAGUCAUCUGUUUCUAGUGUUAGCAGUCAAUGAUUAAACAAAAACAAAACAUACUUACAGAUGAUCAGAUGGGAUACACUUGGUUACAAAUGCGUAUUAGUAAGGUAAUGAUUAGGAGCAACAACUUUGUAGUUAAACCGCCUGGGUUCAGUCAUUUAUUUUGUUUGUACUUAAGUGUUAUAAAAAAACUGAAAUGUUACAAAUAAGCCUUCCCAGUAAUAUUGAGAGAGGAUGAAGGGAAUUAACAUUGGUAGAGUGUUGAAAACAGUGCCUGGAACAUAAGAAGCACCAUGCAGGUUUUAUUAUUCCUGCGUUACAAUAAAAAUAUACCUUUUGGGUUUUAAUCAGUAUUUCAUGGAGAGAAGGAGAGAUUUAAAGAUGGGGAAUUUUUGCUUUGUAAAUGAACUAGGAACUAGUCAUAAAUUAGACUGUUGAAGCAGUCUAUAAAGAUCUGCUUAAACAAGUCUUUCCAAAUAUUGUUAGAAGAAAAAUUGGAUGUAUUUUACUUAAGAAGUUUACCUCCCUUUGAUCUUCAGGAAAGCUAUAGAAAUUGAAUAGAGACAGUCAUACUGUAAAUCUACCUAAUAAUGGUACAAUGAUAAAUUGGAUACUAUUUGUAACACAUUUUGUGUUUCUCCACUGAAAGGUAUGCUGUACAAAUAGAGCACUAAAAUUUAUGAAAAUGUUAGGGCUUUUAAUUAUUAGGCAAGAUUGAAGAAUGUCUGAUUUUUAUAUCAUAAAACUUCAAAAGUGUUUUAGCUACAAACAGUUUAGAAAUCUGAUGGUUGCUGUACCAAAAAAAUAAUGAAGCAAUUUAAAAAAUAAUAGAAACAUAGUGAUCUGGCAUUUCCAGCUUCAUGAUGCUAUAAAAAAAGCAGCCAACAAAUGUUGGACUGUUUAAUGAUGUUGGCACCUACCAAAUGUCACUAGGCUUUCACAAGGUCAUAGAGACUCUGGUUUGGCUCAGUGAUGGUGAUCAAAUCUGUCUUUGGAGCCUAUGAAGACUAUGGAAUAGUGGCAGACAAUAGGUGCGGUUAAACCCUGCAUAGCAUUAACCUCAGCAGUAGUGAUAAACUUUUCUUAGAUUCUCUGGCUUAGAGGAGGCCAUAGGUAUGAGAAAAAAGGUGAAACUCUCUUCUUACAGCAUCCCAUCACAAGCGACUCUAAAUAGAAGAGCUUCUCAUAUGUGUAUGAAGGAUUAAGUUUUCUUCAGAUGACUGCUAGCUAAAAUUGUGUGCUGAUAUAACUGUUACUGCAACAGUUGUAUGUGUAUCUGAUCUCUCAGAGGCAAAAGCUGCUGGAGAAAAAAGUGGUAUUUUUGUCAGAAGACUGUGUGUGUGAUUUGCUGCCUUUUUCACUUUCUCUACCCCCUCAGUGGCAGCCACUUUGACUCUCAUGCAUUACAUAACAUUUUCUAGAGGUGUAGAGUUUCAGUUAUGCCAUUUUCAAGAUGAUUAAUGGGAAUUGUGCAAUUAAAGCUCUUAAGUUCUCUGGGAAAAAAAGUCAUAGUAUCCCAAUGUUUGAGUGAGAAUGUGUUGAUAUUACAUCAAUAGUGAGGAUAUUUUGGGAUAUCAUAAAUGUCACUAUUGGUUUCAGUGUCUGAGAAUCUUCAUCAUUAAACUUAGGAAUGUUCUACAAAAUAGUACCUAGAACACUUAUUGAAUACUGGAGAGAGUUGUUUAAAGAGCUAGAAAAGUCUAACCUAAAAUUCCAUUUGAGAUUAGAUUAUGCAUUGAUGGAAAAAUGUUUAAUGCCUAUUAAAUAGAAUUUACUACAUUAUUUUAUAUUCUUUCAGGCCAUGAAAGUUACAAAUUUAAACUCAAUAGGCAGUAUGUGUGUAUUUUUUUCUUUUAUUGGCAGUCUUAAUAAUUGUUAAGCCACUGUGUGUGUGUGUGUGUGUGUGUGUGUGUGUGUGUACAUUUUACAGAAUCAGGAAAGGGGAAAAAUCUAAAUUUGUUUCAUAUUGUGUUUCAUUUGAAAACAUGUUUUAUAUCUGUGGUAAAUUUAAAGAAACUGGGAUUAUUUCAAUGGAAAUAUGUUUAUUAUUGUUUUGUUUGUCUCACUGGUGAAAAAAAAAUCUCCCAGCUCUUGUGGUUGAAUUGAGCUCCAUGCAUUUGCUGUUAUGCUGAUUGGAUGAAUAAAUAACAAUUUACAUCUAGAAAGUUAAGUGUUAAAUAUUGAUUAGGAUUGCUAUAGCUAGUUUAUGUUAAAUUUAAAAGACUAGAUAUUACCUGCCUAGCAACAUAAGAGAAUUGACUCAUUUUUUCACCUUCUGUGGGGAUGCGAGGCAUUUGUUGCUGGUGUUACCUGAAAGACAAAUGAGGAAAUCAAAACAAUAGAAGUUGUGUUUUGUUUGAAGAAUAGCUUCUUGUCUUUAAGAUGAUAAAACUGUAAAAUAAGUAUAAGGGUGCUAUGAUAUUAAACAUAGAAAAUUAUGUAACAAAAAAAAAAUCCUAUUUACUUAUUUAGGUUAAAGAGUUGUGAAUAUUUGAGAAUUAAGAAACAAAUAGAAAAAUUAGUGUUGCUAUAAUAGCAAGACAUGGAAUCAACCCAAAUGCUCAUCAGUGAUAGACUGGAUAAAGAAAAUGUGGUGUAUAUACACCAUGGAAUACUGUGCAACCAUAAAGAGAAACACAGUUAUGUCCUUUGCAGGGACAUGGAUGGAGCUCGAAGCCAUUUUCCUCAGCAAACUAAUGCAGGAACAGAAACCAAACACCACAUGUUCCCACUUAUAAGUGGGAGCUGAACAAUGAGAACACAUAGACACAAGGAGGGGAACAACAAACACUGGAGCUUGUUGGGGAGUGCAAGGCAAGAAAUUGAGAGAGGUUAGGAGAGCACUAGGAAAAAUAGCUAAUACAUGCUAGGGUUAAUACCUAGGUGAUGGAUUAAUAGGUGCAGCAAACCACCGUGGCACAUGUUUACCUGUGUAACAAAUCUGCACAUCCUGCACACAUACCCCAGAACCCCGGAACUUAAAAUAAAACAAUAAAAAAAUAGUGUUAAUAUGAAAAUAUAUUUCCUCCAUAGUUUACCAUAUGAUUUAAAUAUAGCAGAUAUAUUAACAGGAUAUAUGCUAUGUAUAUUUACUCUGUGGUAUAGCAUACUACUUGGAAAACAAAUAAAUAAUUGCAUCAAAACAGUGAAAUCUCCCUAGAGACUUUUCUCAGAAAAAAACAAACAUAAUGUAUCUGUUCUAACUACUUUAAAAUUUUUAGGUUUUAUUUUAUAGUGCUAUAAAAAUUCUUAAGAGUUUAUUCAAAUAAAACAUGAAAUAUAAAUUAUGUCAUAUAUCCUAAGUUUUUGAAUUUGUAACACAACCAAAAUCUGUUUGUAAUACAUAUACUGCUGUUACUGUUGGUGCAUAAUUGAAGUGAGUAUAUAAGUGUGUAUUUAUGCAUAAUUAUACACUGGUAUAUUUGGUAUUUUCUUUUGAUAAAUUAUUGUAUAACUGGUUAUAAUAAAAUCUGGUAUACCAGAUACUGGUAUAAAUGGUAUUUUGUUAUGAUAUUCCAGGCAGACGAAUACAGCCCCCCAUUAAAUUCCAUUAGGUGUAAAGUGGUGGCUUACACCACCACUCUCAACAAAAGAUGAUGCUGUCCUCCUUCCUCACCAAGACAUUUAUCACUAUCUGGAGACAUUGUGGUUUAUCAGAACUGAGGGUAGUGGUAACAUAGGCGUUUAGUGGUUGUAAGUUAAGAAUGCUACUAAAUAUCGUGCAAUGCACAGGACAGCUCCCACAACAAAAAUAUAUCUAGCCCAAAAUGUCAGUAGUGCUGAGGUUGAGAAGUUGUGAGCAUCUUUUUAGGAUGUGUGUGCUCUUGUAAGCUAACCCAAGUCCUUUAUGGAAACAAGUGAGUUAUCAGGAAAUAUACAUUUAAGAGCAACAAUAUACUUUGUGUUAGAUGCAGUUAUUUUCAGUACUUAGAAAAGCCAGUAAACUGUGAUUCUUAGAGUGAAUCAAAGUCACAUCUGUCAAGUGAAAACAAAACCCUGAAGUAUAUAUGUGUGUAUGCAUAUUUGUAUGUAUGUGAAAUACAAUUUUUCUCUUAAAAUCAUUCACCUUAUAGGCUCCCAUAAAUUUUUUCUUACUAGAUACUUGUACUUUUUAAAUAAAUGUUUUAUAUAUGUAUGUGUGUUUGUGUGUACAUGUGUGCGUUUAUUCACCCAGGCUUUAGAAAUGAUAACUAAAAAGCAUGGCAGAGCCAUAAAAAACAUUUUUACAAGUGUAAAAUGAUAUGGUUUCUGGCCAAUAUAUGAGCAAUGAAUACCCUGAAAGUGCUUCAAAAACAAUAUCAGCUAUCCAGAAAAGAAAUCUUGGUUUUAACAAUUGAAAUAAAUGAUUAUAGUUUGAACAGUUUCACCAGAAAACUAUAAUGAAAAUUGGAAAAGACUUAUGAAUAUAAGCUAGUAGCCCUGUACUCUUUCCAUUGCUCUUUUAUUUCCAGAGUCUACCUAAAUAGAACUUGGUAAUUGUAAUCCUGCCACAUAGUUACCAUUUGGCAGCUUAAUAACAUGUGUCUUUAGAGUCUGACUUCAUAAAUCACAAUAUUCCUUUUAUCUUAAGUAGAAGACAUAUAAUUAAAAAUGGAAAAUUAGUUGCAUUUAAGAUGUUGACUUUUUUUUUAAUUAAGUCCAAGCAACUUCUAAUCGUUUUGUUCUUAAUUAGCUAGUUCAUAAAUGCAUAGCUAGGAAAUAGCUUUCUCAUAUUUCUAACUUACCAUAUCUAGUUUCAUUCACUUUUAUUCUUAUUUGACUAGCUGUUAAUUACCUAGCUUCCAUCAUAUUUUUUAAUUUAUAUCUUACUAUAUAUAUAUCACAUAUGCAGUUUAUAUACUAUGCUUGCACAUAUAUAAUAUAAAAGUAUACUCUAUUAAACUUUAAUGUUUAUAAAUGAGCCAUACAUUUAUUUUGAGGAUUAAACACUUAAGCUAAAUAUGUAUUUUCCUUUAUUAUAGCCAAAAAAAAUUAUGGCAGUUUGAAAGACUAAUGAGACAAUCCUCAAAUUCACAAUUGAACAACUUACAACUUCAGAAAUUACUUGAUGAAUUUAUUAAUUGAAUGACUGUUACUGGUCACAUACAGGUUUUUAAGACUACAGGGGGUAAAUUUUGCCUUUGUUUGGACAGAUUACUUUUAA